rnacentral:rRNA from 1 species
ACGCUGGCGGCACGCCUAACACAUGCAAGUCGAACGAAGUAGCAAUACUUAGUGGCAGACGGGUGAGUAACAUGUGGGUAUCUUCCCUUUGGCCUGGAAUAACACGAGGAAACUUGUGCUAAUACCGGAUAAGUCUUUACAGAGAAAGCUUUAUGCACCAUUGGAUGAGCCUGCACUUGAUUAGUUUGUUGGUAGGGUAAUGGCCUACCAAGACUGUGAUCAAUAGCUGAUUUGAGAGGAUGAUCAGCCACAUUGGGACUGAGACACGGCCCAAACUCCUACGGGAGGCAGCAGUGGGGAAUCUUGCACAAUGGAGGAAACUCUGAUGCAGCGAUGCCGCGUGAGUGAAGAAGGCCCUUGGGUUGUAAAGCUCUUUCGUCGGGGAAGAAAAUGACUGUACCCGAAUAAGAAGGUCCGGCUAACUUCGUGCCAGCAGCCGCGGUAAUACGAAGGGACCUAGCGUAGUUCGGAAUUACUGGGCUUAAAGAGUUCGUAGGUGGUUGAAAAAGUUGGUGGUGAAAUCCCAGAGCUUAACUCUGGAACUGCCAUCAAAACUUUUCAGCUAGAGUAUGAUAGAGGAAAGCAGAAUUUCUAGUGUAGAGGUGAAAUUCGUAGAUAUUAGAAAGAAUACCAAUUGCGAAGGCAGCUUUCUGGAUCAUUACUGACACUGAGGAACGAAAGCAUGGGUAGCGAAGAGGAUUAGAUACCCUCGUAGUCCAUGCCGUAAACGAUGUGUGUUAGACGUUGGAAAUUUAUUUUCAGUGUCGCAGCGAAAGCGAUAAACACACCGCCUGGGGAGUACGACCGCAAG